AACGAACGCUGGCGGCAUGCCUAACACAUGCAAGUCGAACGAGACCUUCGGGUCUAGUGGCGCACGGGUGCGUAACGCGUGGGAACCUGCCCUUAGGUUCGGAAUAACUCCCCGAAAGGGGUGCUAAUACCGGAUAAUGUCUUCGGACCAAAGAUUUAUCGCCUUUGGAUGGGCCCGCGUUGGAUUAGCUAUUUGGUAGGGUAAAAGCCUACCAAGGCGACGAUCCAUAGCUGGUCUGAGAGGAUGAUCAGCCACACUGGGACUGAGACACGGCCCAGACUCCUACGGGAGGCAGCAGUGGGGAAUAUUGGAAAAUGGGCGAAAGCCUGAUCCAGCAAUGACGCGUGAGUGAUGAAGGCAUUAGGGUUGUAAAGCGCUUUUACCCGGGAUGAUAAUGACAGUACCGGGAGAAUAAGCCACGGCUAACUACGUG
rnacentral:rRNA from 1 species